AGAUAUGUGUUUCCGUUAAUUUGGCUUCGUUAUCAAAUAACAACACGGCGCAAUGCACAAAUUUAGCUCGGCAGCGCUGCCACUGUUAGCGUUCGACUGAUAGAUCAAGCGGGAGCUGUGUUUGAGGUCUGGCAACGAUCGCACCCCAGCAGCUGAGCAUGGCUGAGAAAUAAGAAAGUUUGCGGCCGCACUUGUCUGCUGCUCAUUGUUUCCUUGUGCUUAAUUUGCGGUUCACGUUGCAGUUGUUGAUCGUGGUUAUUAUGGAUGAUUUUGUCCGUGUGUGUACUGUGAUCGAGCCGGAUUGACUUCGAAAGUUGCAACGCAUGGAACGGCCGAUGGGCAGCUUUGUUUAACUUCAAGACCAUGUGCUGCUGAAAGCUUUCUGAAAGCAACAGGACAAAAAAUAAGGGAUGUGGGCCUUGGAAAGACCAGCUGAUGGAAAAAAAAUCAACGUCUGUGUUGCACGCAACGCCAUUGUGACAGUCUGCAUCACCAUUUGGCCUGUUGUGGGAUCCCACAAGACACGCUCUGUUCCUCGGUCAAUUACUGAACUUCUGCAAGCCCCAUGGAAGCCAACUGUGAUCCGCAUCGAAUGGAACAAAUUCAUUGUUCCGGCCUUCAUAAUUAUUGUUUAAGCUGAAGUUAGAAACGGAGCUGAAACAGCGUAUCUUCUGUAAGAAUUUACCACUGCAUACCGUCCGGUGGCCACACCCGACGGUAUGCUACUGUCUAGAACACUGCUAGUCUACUGACUAGAACAUGGAUGGUGUUUUAUUCUAGAAUAGCUUUGUUAGUAGUACUACUGCUUGCGUUUGUAGGAUCACAGUCCACGCUCUUUUUGCAAUCCUAUCAGAACACAAAAAGUAGAGGAUAAAUUUAAUUUAUUGUUUCAGAGAUUGACACUUGGAUUGACCAAAAAUAAUUCAGUGAUACAGACUGCUUUAUUAAAUAUGGGUUAAGAAAAGAAACCUGGACGAAAAAUACAGACUUAAGCAGCAAGGUGCCUAUGAAGGCAGAUGUAUGCAAAAUGCCUUUAGUGGUGAUGUUUGAGCUGUUAGGAUGUCAGAAAGGAGAUAGUUGUUUUAGCCAAAAUAGUGCGACAACGACUACAGUGCAGCAGUACACAUUAACUGGAGCUCCUCUUCUCCCCUUGCACACCAGCGCAAGCGCAGCACCCUUGAAAAGGCAGUUGCUCUGCGUGGUUGCGUUGGCAGCCUGGUUCCUGCAUAAGAGAAGGGGUUGGUUAUAAACAUACAGUGAUGUUAACGCACAUAAAAACUAGCUUAGGUACAGUAUUCGUUUUCAUCAGUUUACUUUUCGAAGUAAAUACAUUCAUUACAUAUUUUCAUUGUGUUCAGGAAGCCGAGUUUUU